UAUAUGUGUGCGAGUGUGUGCCAUCCCUCGCGUGGAUAUGUGUGGCAUGAGAGCUGCCUAUCCUUUCCCACACAGCGACAGUGCUGUGUGCUUGUACUUUAGACCUGUUUCUUCAUAGGAGCUAAUGCUCAGUAUUUCCCCUUCCCCAUCCCCCAUCCCCCAUCCCCCAGAAAUGUUAAAGGUUGCAUCUUUUGAUAAUCUACUCACCUGCAGAUGCGAUCGGUUUGCAGACGGAAUCGCGAUGCAAUGCGAAUGCUAACAAACUGAAUCUGUGGAGGAGAUUAAAAUAAGUUCAAAAGGUCAUCAAAAGGAUGCACCGCUUCUUUCUGUGCAGUGCAGUGACUCCUAGCUCAAUCCUAUAUAAUCCUCAGACCACGGUUUUCUACAGGAUUCUACAGGACUAUAGUGGGACUGGCAGAUGUAAUACAAUUAUAGAAAUUCAUGUAAACUGAUUAUUAAAUUGAUAAAUAAAGGGAUAUUUCUCCUCUGAA